rnacentral:rRNA from 1 species
AUACAGAGGGUGCAAGCGUUAAUCGGAUUUACUGGGCGUAAAGCGCGCGUAGGUGGCUAAUUAAGUCAAAUGUGAAAUCCCCGAGCUUAACUUGGGAAUUGCAUUCGAUACUGGUUAGCUAGAGUAUGGGAGAGGAUGGUAGAAUUCCAGGUGUAGCGGUGAAAUGCGUAGAGAUCUGGAGGAAUACCGAUGGCGAAGGCAGCCAUCUGGCCUAAUACGGACACUGAGGUGCGAAAGCAUGGGGAGCAAACAGGAUUAGAUACCCUGGUAGUCCAUGCCGUAAACGAUGUCUACUAGCCGUUGGGGCCCUUGAGGCUUUAGUGGCGCAGCUAACGCGAUAAGUAGACCGCCUGGGGAGUACGGUCGCAAGACUAAAACUCAAAUGAAUUGACGGGG